rnacentral:rRNA from 1 species
UGGGGAAUUUUGGACAAUGGGGGCAACCCUGAUCCAGCCAUUCCGCGUGAGUGAAGAAGGCCUUCGGGUUGUAAAGCUCUUUCAGCAGGAACGAAACGGUGCGCUCUAACAUAGCGUGCUAAUGACGGUACCUGCAGAAGAAGCACCGGCUAACUACGUGCCAGCAGCCGCGGUAAUACGUAGGGUGCGAGCGUUAAUCGGAAUUACUGGGCGUAAAGCGUGCGCAGGCGGAUUGUUAAGCAAGACGUGAAAUCCCCGGGCUUAACCUGGGAAUGGCGUUUUGAACUGGCAGUCUAGAGUGUGUCAGAGGGGGGUGGAAUUCCACGUGUAGCAGUGAAAUGCGUAGAGAUGUGGAGGAACACCAAUGGCGAAGGCAGCCCCCUGGGAUAACACUGACGCUCAUGUACGAAAGCGUGGGUAGCAAACAGG